UACGUAGGCAGCAAGCGUUGUUCGGAAUUACUGGGCGUAAAGGGCGCGUAGGCGGCCUGUUAAGUCGAACGUGAAAUCCCCCGGGCUCAACCCGGGAACUGCGUCCGAUACUGGCAGGCUUGAAUCCGGGAGAGGGAUGCGGAAUUCCAGGUGUAGCGGUGAAAUGCGUAGAUAUCGGGAGGAACACCUGUGGCGAAGGCGGCUUUCUGGUCUGUAACUGACGCUGAGGCGCGAAAGCGUGGGGAGCAAACAGG
rnacentral:rRNA from 1 species